UAUUUCAGAAACACAGGUAACCUGGUAUCCGUUUUCCUACAUAUCCAACAGACUCUGCAUUCUUAAUUUUUUUUGUCCCCUCUCCGCUACUGUGCGUGCUACUUCUACGUAGUGCCCGCAAGUGUUCAGACUGAUACGCCACGUAACUUAAAAGGCUUGUGUUGCAGGCUACGUUUGACUGAAACCUUUGGCAAGACCAUUAAAAACAUGCAGCUGGAUAUUAAAAUGUGAAUAAUGAAAGGUUGUUCUUCUAAAAAGUUUGAUAUUGGAGUGAAACCUUUGCCGUGGUCCUUUGUGUUUGUGAACAAUAUUUGAUUACAAUAAAGCACUUACUGGGUAUUCACAAGUAGUCAAAUGGAAGUACUAGUACUCAUACUAAAAAAAAAAAAAAAGUGGUUUCAGUGCAUCCAUAGUCUUACUUUGAAUCUGUUGUAUUGUACGGCUUAACUGCUCUGUCAUAAAAAGGCACACAGAUCCACCAUACUGCAUGGUUAAGCAAUGAACAAGACAGGUUAAAAAAAUACAGAAGAAAAUCCUUUGGAGGAUACCUGAUAUUUUGCGGCAUAAAUUUCUCCUGUACCAUGGGGGGAAAUAAAAACCAGCACUGACUAUGAAAUCUCCUGAAGUAAAAUUGUCAAAUUUGGAGGUUUCAUGAUACCAAGAGCUGUGACGUCAACCACGAAGCAAGGGCCAAUGAGACCAAAAGCCACCGCUUGGUAAUGUCAACCCGACUGGACUGAGCCCAACUCGUCAACAUAACAAAAAAUAAAAAAAUUAAAAAGUAAAUGUCUAAAACAGAUUCUGGCGGACACGCCUGUACACUUCCUGAAGCCCAAAAGCCCCCCGAGAAAUACUGUGAUAAAUGACACGUGCACACUGAGGUCAGUGAUACUGUGGCAUCCAUCUUGGAAGACGCUUCACUUCAACACUGAAGGAAAUUUUAUCAUUUUUGGGGGGGGGGGGGGGGAAAUUGAGAGUAAACCAGUUUUGAACCCAAACCUGCUGAAUGUUUUUAUUAAAAGACUGACUGCUACUAAUUGUGAUGCAUUUAAUCUUUCCCCAAUCACCUUCAAUCUCAAAACACUUUUUUUUCAUAUCUGUUUUCAUUUUUUGUUUUUGCAUUUUUAGGAAAAGACAUUUCACCAUCAACUAGUUCAGGAAUUGUUUGUGAUUUGUUCGUUGCUUCUGGUUUGUUUGGGGGGGGGGGGGGGGGGUUUCCCCACUUGGGCCCAGUAAAAAGAUGUCUGAAAUCCAACCUCCGAUUGUUCGCCAUUGGAAAUAUCCAAACACCUUCCAAUUUGAGUCCCAGCAUUUUCCUACACAAUUUCUACAAAUGCUUCCCACAUGGAAACAAACCACUAAUGUUAACAUCAUGGUGACAAAACUAAUGAUACACAACAUUCAUUCAUUCACAGAAUGGUAUUAAAAAAUGAUAAGUUAAAAACAACAGACAGCAUGAAUUAAAAUAGUGAUCACUCAUUGGAAAUCAUAUUUUGCUACUUCUGUUCUGUUUUCAGCAUAUGAAAAAAUGCUAUGCAAGUAAGCAUUUCCAUAUUCAUUGCUAGCAUUCUUCAUUGUCCAAAGACCAGCAGGAAUAAUUCAAAUAGUAUCACUCAACCACCCCCUCUCCCCACAUACACGUGAUUAAUAUUAUCCAAAAAUGAAAGGACUUUAAAUUACUUAUUUUAUUGAGAGUGAAAUCCCGCUGCAUCCUCAUUGUUUUGGGCGCUAGCAUUUCUGCUUUUAAAUCACAACCUCGAUUAAAAAAAAAAAAAAAAAAAAAAGACUCACAUAUUGAUCCAACACCUUUUCAUUCACACAGCUUGAAAGGGGAGGUUUUUGUUUUCUUGGGAUACAAAAUUUUUACUUCUUCAUUUACAAUGUAAAACACAACA